GGUUGAUGCCAUGCUUCCAAGAAAAGCUUCUAAGCUUCAGAUAACUAGGAACCGUACCCCAAACCGACACAGGUGGUUGGGUAGAGAAUACCAAGGCGCUUGAGAGAACUCGGGUGAAGGAACUAGGCAAAAUGGCACCGUAACUUCGGGAGAAGGUGCGCCGGUGAGGGUGAAGGACUUGCUCCGUAAGCUCAUGCCGGUCGAAGAUACCAGGCCGCUGCGACUGUUUAUUAAAAACACAGCACUCUGCAAACACGAAAGUGGACGUAUAGGGUGUGA
rnacentral:rRNA from 1 species